UCCUUUAGCACCUUGGGAAACAUCCUCAAUUUCUCGACACAUCACAGAGGAAUGACUCAGAUGAGACACUUCUACUUUAUCAGCAGCCUUCAAAGACUUAAGUAUGUUCUCUGACUUUCUGCUUUUGGUGUCAAAAUGCACGGCACGGUGCUGUGACUGACUGAAAGGCAAGCCCUAUCUUGGAUGCAGAAUUUGACGUUGAACUGAUUUAAGUUCACACCAAUCGUCUGCUGGGAUUUCUUCUCUUCCUGGGCACUGAUUUGACUCAAACCUUUUAAUCUUAAGGACUGUGCAAGGGAAAAGAAGUAUAAGUCAACAUAUUUCAAGUACUAUGGCCUCAUCUUCAAAAUUAUCCUUAUUAUGAAGACUGAUAUGUCAGUAUAUCCUGGGGUCCACUGAGGAUGAGGCGAGGCGUUGGUGAUGUGCCUCCUUGAGCAAAAUCUGAGCCAACCGACCAAGGAUGCUGGAGGAGAGUCAAGGCUGGGAAAGUACCGUGGACUGUGUUCGCAAUCAACAGAAGGCAUUUUUAAACAAAAGUGCUUUUCCAAGCUUCCAUGAGAAGAAACAAAAGGCUUUUCUCAAAUGAAUCCUGGUUAGAAACUCUUCUUGUUCCGUGACGUUUAUGUCACUGGGACAACAAGUCAGCACUCAGAAAUGGUUAUUUUCCUGUUGACAGCCCUGCAUAAAUACUUCUGCUUAGAAUGACAUAAGAGCAUUAGCGUCCAGUCCCAUGCACUGCUCCCCCUCCAACGGCAGUGACUUGCAAAAACAAUAAAGAUAUCUCCGCUUGGUUUCGCUCUCUCUUGAUAAUACUGCAGGCACAACCUGUGUGGGGAAACAAUCUCCUGGAUCAUACUGAAGGUUCGCACAGAUGGAACAUUAGUGGGAGGAGUUGCCAGCUACUUCCCUGCCAACUUGUUAGUGCUGGAGACAUUAUCCUCUUGUUUUGCCAGUUUAAUAGAGGAUCAGUCGUAAAGAUUCUCCGUAGGCUCAGCAGCAUAAUUAUUAUCUAUGGUCUCUGCAUUAACUGUGAGAAAACAUCACGGUCUGAAUCUGCCUAAUUUCAAAUGCCAAAUUGUGCCCACAUUCAGCCCACAACUGAACCUGGAAACUCAAUAUACCCUUAGCAUUGCUACUGCUGUCAUCAUGGCGGUGUUAAGUAUACAUUUGCCUAAGCCAGGAUGUUUAACCCUCGCGGUUCUGCUUCUGUGUGUAAGGGUUACUUCUUCCAUUUCCCGGACCCUUUCCAACACCACCGUCCUUGAAAUGAAAAAUUAUUAAAAAGGUAAAAAUCUAUGUCACACUUAGUUCUGAUACUUGGUCCAGAAGUGCCAAGCCCCUGCAAAUUUGGAAAACAAACUCCUUAACAGAUGGGCCACACAGAGUUUACAACAUGUGCAGUGUGGGAGGCAGUACGGCUCUGGGCGAGAAACAGAAGAUUGGAGAUUUGGGAGCUCAGAGUUUUUGAAUUUGCUCUUGUUUUUUGCUCGUAGGCAGAUCACAUAAGCUUAUAUUUUUCAUUUCUCUCACAUGACCUGAUAUCUUAACCUUUUAAGUGAGUAAUAAAAAAGUCAAGAAAUCCUUUCCCUAAUAUGACACAGCAUCAAUAUGUUUAUUGCUACUAUUAGGAUUACAUACAACUAGUAUCAAAUUGUUAAUAAAAUGUGGCUGCAGGAUCUAGAAAAAUCCGCCAUGUAAUUUUAUAUCUGAGAUAUAAUUUUCUGUCACUGAGGACAGGCAUAUAACUGGUGAGCUGUUGUCACUGAAGAAUAGGAUAUUUCCAGCCUUGGACAAAUCAUUGGCAAAUGACUGGAUUAUGACUUCAAAAGCUGAAUUUCCAACAUGCCUCUUCAGUGGCCUCUUGGAAACUUAAGAGAUGGUAAAAGAUUUUCAUAACCAAGUUACUCUGAUAUGAAUUUGACAACAGUCUAAUAACGAAGCUUCCCAAACAUGAUGAUCAUUAGUUUUGUUCAGGGAACUAUUAAAAAUAUAAAUGUCUUAGAUCACCAUAUGCCAGCUUAUUGGGAG